GCUUGAGGAGAGGCAAGCUCAAUUAAGCAGUGUGUGUGCAAUUUCAGGGAAAUGGGGUCUGCUUCUUAGAAUCUACAAGAAUGCAAGGCCUCUUGAGCAAAAGUAUGGGGGUGUUUCUUUUUUUAAUGGAUCACCUGGUGGGGCCUCAACACCCCUAUUCUUCUUUCCCAAGGUGGAAGAGCUGCUAACUGCAGAAAUGACGUCAGUCCCAGCUUGUAAUGGUGCUGACUGGGGAUGGGCAUGAUCAAAUGUUGCUCCGGGUGAUGUUUGGCUCUCUCUGGCCACCUUUCAUCUGGAGCAUCUCAUAACACUUUACAGGAGAUAGUUAAUUAUACUUCCUGAGGCUUUGGGCAGGAACAUGCAUCACAGACUGCACUUACGUCUGUGACUAUGUCAGAAGAAAUGCUCAAGGACUAAUUACUUUGCAUUUGUAUGUAUCAUCUCCUUUCACAUGGGAUCUCAAAGCAAUUUCCCAAGAAACAAACUUUGACCUAUGGAAGAAAAAAAAGAUGUUUUUCAUAUGAACACAGUAAAAUUCACAGCAUAUGAAGGAAGAGCUGAACAGGCUCACAUCUGUAAGGAUAAGUGGGUGGAAGUUGAUAAAAGUGAUGCCCCAAGAGAUCUUCAGUCAUCAGAUCAACAUUCAUGUUAUGAGCAAAAAGGCUCUCUGACUUUCAUUCAGCCCAAGACCCAGAGUUAAACUGGGUUUAACCAGCUAACUGGUUCCUUGUUGAUCAAAAGGUAACACUUUUGAGAUGGGCAUGUGAUGACUCCGGCAGACAUCCAGUUGUGUUUCAAAAGGACAUGGAUUCUAGGACACCAAGAGAGACGUGUCUAAUAAGUUGUUUUGGUCUCUAAAAGUUAUCUGAGUGGCCAACACACCGGUAGGGACAUGACCCAAUUGCUUGGGCAGGGGCAGAACAAAUUGGAACUAGAGCUGUGCUGGAGACAGGAUUCCAAAGCCAAGUCCAUGAAGCUAUAAGCAAUAAAUGAUUUUCC
rnacentral:lncRNA from 1 species